rnacentral:lncRNA from 1 species
AGAUUCCUCAUGCUGAAGAAGAGAGAGGUUUUCUGACAACAGAUUCUUGACGAAGAAUGAGAAGAAGGUUUCUGACAUGAGAAGCCUCACGACCUGCCUCUCCCUCCUGGACUUUCUCUGCACUCUACGUGACUGCUGCCUAAGGUCAGCCACUCUGCUGCUGCUCUCCCCCCCCGAGAAGGUGUCGGAACAUCGUGCAACGGGACGACUGCCGGAUCCUGGUGCCUGGUUCAAAUGCAGUUCCUGACUUCUGCCAGCAGCACUCGCCGUUUAUCUUCCUCGCACCCAGAAACACACGACUUACAACAGAAAUCUCUCUGGAGUUGCAUUAGAGAUGGUGUGACAAACAAGAGGGACAGCACAAGGGCUGUAAAGGAGAAGCAUCCCGACCUUUGAUCCACCUCUGGUGUUUAAGAGCAAAACAUGAAGGGAAGGCAGGAGAUGUACAAUGUGUCCUUCUCCCAGCACAACCUCACCUGAUCCUUUAAAAUCAGAAAUGGAGAACUAGGAGUUUAUUUAUAUCUCUGAGGAUAUGGCAGUAGUCCUGAGAAGAAAGUCAACAAGUGGGUGAGCCUGAGCUACCCUCUGCAGCAAGUGAGUAUCAAGACAAGGACCAAAAGAAAUUUAUCUUCUGUCAGCCAACUGAAACGAUGUUAGUUUCUGGGUUGAUCAAGAGAGAUCUGGUCUGUCAGGCCUCUUCAAAACAGCUGGGGGGUGGGGGGGAGAGCACAUUGAAGCAAAGAUCUAGCUACAGAGGCACAAGAAUAGGCUGCUUUUAAACUGCUGUGGUUGCAGUUUAUUCUCCGACUAUAUACAACGUUCCCAAUUGAGUGUUUUGAUUCCAUGUGCCCCUGUACAAUUACUCAAACAAAGCUGGCAAUUGUAGCCCUUAAAAUGCAAGACAUAGUUUUGUUUAGAACUUCAGUAGACCUUUUAUUAGCUGUACACAGCAGGGAGUGCAAACCCCUUUUUCAUAAUAAAGAAACAGUUCUAUGCAAAAAGCCACAAGAUGUAAAACUACCAAAUAAUUCUUCUCUACAAAAUGAAAAUAUAUGGAAAUUAUAUGCAAUGAUGAGUUAAAAUAGGAACAAUUCAGAAUCUGCUGCUUGAAAUUAAAGGGGUAUGAUGAAACAGAGUUACUAUAUGCCUAAGCCAUUUUCAGAGUGGAAAGGUGGAGAAAUGCAUGGGUGUAUAUUCUGGAUUGCUUAAAUAAAUGUGAAUGAAAACAGUAAGGUUGAAAGAAAAACUUCUGUUGCAAUGCAGCAGUAAGUCAAUAAACAUUCAGUUGUCUCGCAUGUCAAUACAUGGAUUCCCAUGGUACCACAAGGUUACAUAGGGCAUGGAUUUAGUUUCUACCCCUACUGCUGGUGAUUUUUAUUUAGAUGUACGAUAUCAUUUCUGUUCAGUGUACAAAUAUCUGACGAUUUUAAAGUGAUUUAUGUAGGUAGAUGAGUUAAGAGCUGGUGAGAGAACUGUUGUGUGAAAUUGUGAGGAGAAGGUCUCUUUGGGUCCUGUGCCACAGAUGAUUAUUAUUUUUAAUUAUUUUUGUUUGCAUUCUAAAAGCAUACCAUAGCUUUUCUGCCACUGAAAUGCUUUUAUGAUUAUUAUUUAUUAUCAUCUAGUAUUUGACACUUAGACCAUUUUCCCCAUUAAAGCUUUAGGUCAUUCAGUGUCAUUGAGGUCAGUGGAAGAAAUGAAUCCCACGGAUGUGUCUUCUUAGCUUUAAACGAGAAAGGGAUUUAAAUGUUUGGUCUUAAAUCCACGGUGAAAUCUUCAGCGUGUCUCCAGCUGUAGGUUCCUAAAUUCUACUGUUAUUAUAUGUCAAGGCUGUUACUGCUGUUGUCACAGCUUUGGUUGAGUUACUUUAACUCUUAAACUCUGUCCAUAGUUUGAUGUGAUAUCCUAGCUGGAACUGGGAACUUACAAGCUUCCCUGUGCUUGUCUUGGCUGAAGUGUUGAACUCUGCUUUUUGUGACCUUGAAUGCAUGAGGUUAAAGUUAGGAGGACUCACCUGUAUUUUUAAGGAAGCUGUACUGAUAUUGUUUUUACUUUAGUAUUUCAUUCAUUUCACUCUGGUGAAUUGUUCACGGAAACAGAAAGGGUUCCUGCUAAAUUGUGGUUUGAACACAGAAUGCAGAACUGUCUAGAUAUGCCUCGUGACAUAGCUGGAGGUUUUCAUAGGUGUCUUGUAUUAAAAUGCAGUGGGGAAGCAGAAGGAUAUAUUCUGUCUCUAUUUCUUGAUUAAGCAGUGAGACUUUACUGGAGAUCAGCUGAUGUGUAAGAGAAUUCCAACCUUGGCAGACUAACAGGUGAUGUUACUUCAAUUUUAGGUCCUUAACUUUUUUCUUUUUGUGAAAGGAAUGUGAAGUUAAUUGUGUCACAUUAAAAUUGAGUGAGAAUGAGGAAAAUCAAGGGAACUAUUUAGCAAAUGAAGUCUAUGUAUUUGAUCCACAAUAAAAUUGUGUUCCUUCAUUGUUUUGACACUGUUGUGGUUUGAGUAAAACCCUGACAAUCUUGUUUUCACUGAACAAGUUACUUUCUGCUGGAGACUGACAAAACAGUAGAACAGUAUUCAGCCUAUUUAGUAAAAUACGAAACUUCUUGUGAUUAGUCUUCAUUUUGAAAAUUGAUGUGUAGUCCAGUUCACCUGUCUUCCGCUUGGCCUUAUAGUGAUAUGUAUGUAUAAAAUACAUCUAAAUACGCCUUUAAGAAUAAAGAUGACAGAAUUAAAUGUCUCGAGUGAAGCACUCUGUAACAUAUCUGUGCAGAACUGGGGAAGCCUCCAGUGAUUUCCAGCAUCGGAGGUCACCCUUUCUUCUGGUAGCUUUUCCAUUAAUGUCCUAUUUUAUGCAUUGUUGGGUUUUUUUGUUUGUUUGUUUUUGCUUAUGUGGUUAAACGCUGGUAACAAAGUUCACGAAGGACUGGAUUUUGUAAAAUGUGAUAUUUUUUAGGGACUAAUGAAGUUGUUUUUCAGAAACAUCCACUACCUGUGUUAUCAGAAGAGUAAAAAUGGCAAAGUGUAUCCUGUACCAGGAAAGAGCAUUUGUUCAGCAGUUCUUUUGAAUUGUGUGGUACUAAAUAAGCAGUAAAAGGGAUGACUGUCACCCGGAGUAAAACCAAGGCAACUGAUCUUCACAGUGCCUCUACAGACACUGAAUUUUGCUAAAAAGAGGAAACAUGAUAAACGAAAGAAUGACGUUUUAAGAUGCUGAAGAGAAUAGACUGUAUGAAUGAUAAUCAGUGUGUGUUUUACAUGUGCUGCCAGGUGGAUGAGACAAAGGUGUGCGUUUGUCAGCAUUACUGCUCUGGGCUUUUGAUCGUUACAGCAAUUUCAAGAAGUUGUUUUAGAAGGGAUGCACAAAUUUCACAGUCAUUUGAGUGAUCUAAUAGAGGUUGUCUAGCCACAGCAUCAAAGAGGUUGUGGUCAGCAGUUUUCUCUCUAAUAAAAGAUGCUGUGACUGUAGGUUAUACGUGGCUUCAGAGAUGUACCCAAAGCCAGCAGAAUCUCGGUCUUGUAACGCAAGGUUCAGACAGCCAACUUCAGACUGCAGAUUGUUGACAAUAUUUCCACACGGGACCAUUGCUGAAAAAUGUUCCACUAAAACCAUUUCCUUCCUUUCUCUUCUUCUCUAUGUUCAACUUGUAAAAAUGAAUGUUUUCAAAUGACUUUCACUGGUAAUCUUUGCUUCAUCCAAUACAUAACUUCUCGUCUAAAUGGAGAAAAAAAGAGCCAGCCAAAAUCAGCCUACUUCAGACAGGCACUUGAGUCUGUUUAACUUGGAUUCCAGAUAAGAAAACUAACCACUGUGGGCAUGGCUGACGUACAGUAACAUGCUGGUGAUGUUUCUGAGGGAUCCUGAGUUUUUCUCCAGUGGAAACGCUUGCUUCAUCUCAACAUUUUCUCAAGUGGUGAUAAACCAUUUACUACUCUUCUAAUGAGAUGCUGAAAAUUAGAGGAUAGAAAAAGGGCUGCUUAAAACACUAGUAGAACUGCUAGUUCACUUCUAAAUGUGAUUUUUUUUUUCUUUUCUUUUUUGGUUAUAAAGUGAUCUUUAAUCAAGAAGGCUGGUUAAAGCCUUUUCAUCCACUCCACCCCCAACAAGACAAUGUUUCCUGAAGGCAGCACACGAUACCUUUUUUUAAUUUUAUUUUUGGAUGUAUUUAUUAUGGAUGUAAAUCAGACAGUCUGCCUGCCAAUGCCUUCUUUUCUUUGAAAAGGAGCUUGUUUCCCUCUGCUUUUGAUCUGUUCGAGUGAGUCUCUUCUUUAAGAAUUUCAGAAGCCAUUCCAUGAAUCUGUAACGAAGCGUGAAGUUAAAACAGGCUCCUCCUAACAAGAAGCAUAAUGGUGCUUCACUCAUGAAGGUGGGAAUUAAGUUAUUGAAAGGAGGUAAAUGUGGACGGGCCACAGAGAAGUGAACUGAGGAAACAAAUAGAAAAUUUCAUAAAGGGAGAAAAAGGAAAAGCUGAGAAGUCUAGACAGAUUUAUAAAAAUUGCCAAUUGAAAUGCCCAACAGACUACAAUACAGUAUAAAUUAGUAAUCUGAAUAAUUUCCUAGUGUCGUGCAUUCUGAUGGGGCUUUGGUUAUUUAUAACGUUAAGUUUAUGGAUAAGUAACUGAAUUUGUACAGUGAUAAACGGAAAGAUAAUUUCUGACUGAAUUUUAUCUCUUUCAGAUUUUUCCAGUCUCAGUGCAUCUCAGCUGGAUGCAAUGCUCUGUGUGCAAGAUCAUCAUUGGAGUGCUGACGUGCAUGUGUGAAUUUAAGUGCAAUUAUUUACUUGUGUUCACUUGUGGGAGUUGAUUGAAUGGCCUGAGGAAAGCAGAUGAAUAAUGUAAGGAAAUCUUUGCAGAAUCACGCAAAGUUCUAAAUGGUUUUCAGUGCAACAUGAAACAUCCCUUACUCUUCUCUUCUUCUGAAUCCUCAGUUUCAUAUGCUUUCGUUGAAUUAUUUUUCUCCUUUCUCAUCAUCAAGUAAUCAACACUAAAUUGUUUAAAGGUGCUAUUACUGAACUUUCUGCUCUCUUCCAUGAAUUAAAAUUUUAUUUUGUCAAGCGGUGCAAGAACUCAGAAAAUAAAAACUCAGAAAAUAAACAUUUCUUUCCACUUUCUUGUGUGAUAUUGCUUUCUGUCAUUUCCAGUGUCCCCACACGUGUCAUUUUCAUCACGCUGAAAGCACAGUCCGUAACUGAAAAAUGGGCUUUGAAUUUGUGCAAUUGGCAAAAGCUGUGGCCUAAAAAGGCAUCGGAGCCCUUUCAAAAUGUUAUGAUAGAUUUUCCACAGAGAGGAUUUCUUUUUGCAUUGUACUGUAGAACAUAGAAUUAAUAUAAUGGAAAGAGAUGAUAGGCAUGCUCAGAAAGGCAGUUGUAUCUCUAAUAAUGGCUUCACAAAGUAUAGUUUGAAAGUGUAUUGUUUUCCCAUUGAAACUGGGAUAUAAAUGUGUAAUGUUACAUUACACAUUAAUAUAUUGUUUUCUAUGUAUUGUAAAGUAAAUUUUCUCUAUCAGAUGGUUACAAAUGAUGACUGGCAUCCUUUGGUAUCUAUGGAACCAAAGUAGCAUUAAUAAAAACAAUAAAGGCCGAACUGUCCCAGUGUUCCUGUGUGUGCUGUAGGUAAUAAGCUAAGUAUCAACACAACAGAAGGGCUUUAGUAAAUGGAAGUCAGAUGUUUCAUACACUGUGUGUGAGCUACUUUUGUGUCCGUGAUGUCAGCACAUCAGCCAAAAAUUGGAGCUCGCUGGUGAUUCUCGAGGGUCUCCUUUAUCUUGUUUUGAGCAAAAUUGUAAGAUGAGUUGCUGGCCUUCACUUGCAUACCUAUAUAUAUAUAUUACAUAAUGACUGUGUGUAGUGGUGUAAGGACAUUUAAAAAUUGGAAUUCUGAUUCUUCACUUAAUUUUCAUUUUUUUUUCAAAUAAAGGUAUCUUAUUCCUUCUCAUUUCCUUAGGAAUAAUCUCUUAAUGUAUUGCCAGCUUUCUCUGAGGUAUUUCCAACAGAGAAAUGGCUCUCUCAAUUAGAAAAGUGUAUCAGUUAACAACUGGCCCUGGAUAAAUCUAGAAAGUAUUCAAGAUGUUUGUCUUGCACGCUUUCCUGCAAGUCAGCUGCUGCCACUGCCUUUUCCCUUAUGUUAAUAUUAGGUCUUCUGCCUGUUAAGCGGCCACUUAGGUACUGAUUGCCACAAAAGCCUGGAAGCUAGGA